rnacentral:tRNA from 1 species
GGCGGCGUAGCCAAGUGGCAAGGCACGGGUCUGCAAAACCCGCAUCGCCGGUUCGACUCCGGCCGUCGCCUCCA